GUGAAUCAUCGAAUCUUUGAACGCAUAUUGCGCCCAUUAGUAUUCUAGUGGGCAUGCCUAUUCGAGCGUCAUUUCGACCCCUAAGCCCCUGUUGCUUAGCGUUGGGAAUCUACGGCGUAGUUCCUUAAAGUUAGUGGCGGAGUUAGGGUACACUCUCAGCGUAGUAAUAUCUCUCGCUCGUGUGGUGGCCCUGGCUGCUAGCCGUUAAAACCCCUAUAUUUUCUAGUGGUUGACCUCGGAUUAGGUAGGAAUACCCGCUGAACUUAAGCAUAUCAAUAAGCGGAGGA
rnacentral:misc_RNA from 1 species